GGCUCCUUAUCUCCUGCAGCAGUGCUUCUGGGUUAGAAGGUAAACGGCACGGCACGGCAUGGAGCGAGGUGGAAUUCUACAAAUCACAGUAAUUUCAGGGACAUUCGAGAUCCAAACCGAAGUGAGCGCCACCUGCGGCCCAGCCUUAGCCUGGUGAAGCUCUCAUCCUUAAAGGCCAAUGCAAGCCUAGUUACUGCACGGUGGUGCGCACCUAAGAGCCCAGCUUCUUGGCAGGUUGAAGCAGGAGGUCCACGAGUUCGAACACAGCUUGGCCUACACAGGUGUCUCAGACACAAUGACGGAUGUUCCUCACCCCUCCUGGACCAUGAG